GCAUAUUGGACAAUGGGCGCAAGCCUGAUCCAGCCAUGCCGCGUGAGUGAUGAAGGCCUUAGGGUUGUAAAGCUCUUUUGUCCGGGAAGAUAAUGACUGUACCGGAAGAAUAAGCCCCGGCUAACUUCGUGCCAGCAGCCGCGGUAAUACGAAGGGGGCUAGCGUUGCUCGGAAUCACUGGGCGUAAAGGGCGCGUAGGCGGACUUUUAAGUCGGAGGUGAAAGCCCAGGGCUCAACCCUGGAAUAGCCUUCGAUACUGGGAGUCUUGAGUUCGGAAGAGGUUGGUGGAACUGCGAGUGUAGAGGUGAAAUUCGUAGAUAUUCGCAAGAACACCGGUGGCGAAGGCGGCCAACUGGUCCGAAACUGACGCUGAGGCGCGAAAGCGUGGGGAGCAAACAG
rnacentral:rRNA from 1 species